rnacentral:rRNA from 1 species
UACGUAGGGGGCUAGCGUUGUCCGGAAUCAUUGGGCGUAAAGAGCGUGUAGGCGGUCCGGUAAGUCCGCUGUGAAAGUCGGGGGCUCAACCCUCGAAUGCCGGUGGAUACUGUCGGGCUAGAGUGCGGAAGAGGCGAGUGGAAUUCCUGGUGUAGCGGUGAAAUGCGCAGAUAUCAGGAGGAACACCUAUUGCGAAGGCAGCUCGCUGGGACGUAACUGACGCUGAGGUGCGAAAGCGUGGGGAGCAAACAGG